rnacentral:tRNA from 1 species
GGUUCCAUGGUGUAACAAUGGCGAGCGCUCUGGAUUCUGAAUCCAGCGAUCCCGGUUCAAGUGACGGUGGAACCU